UCCUCGGUAGUAUAGUGGUUAGUAUUCCCGCCUGUCACGCGGGCGACUGGGGUUCGAUUCCUAUGGGGGUCGGUGGAA
rnacentral:tRNA from 1 species